UUUACUGUUCCAUUGCAUUUAAUAGAAAAAGAGGACUUUGUGGCAAAUAAAUCAAGAUUUUUAUAGAAAAUUCACAGCCUUUAUCCUUGUACUCUCAUAUUUGGCAAUUUGAUGACUGGUAGAUAUAGGAUUAUUGCAUGCAGUGCUAGCAUUGAUUUCCUUAAAACAAGUUUAUAAAUGUAGUUAUUGGUUAAGACAAGUAUAAAUAUGGCCAAAAUCAAGUACACCUUUUAGGGUGCGCUCGACUUUAGUGACUCAGCACGAGGUGUUUUGGAAUUUACAGGUUACUUAGAACUUUUUGUAAAAAAUAAACACUAGCACAUCAUAGAAAAUCAAGUGAGUAAUUUAUGUUUCAAAUUUUAUAACAAAAAUAUCUGUAUUAAAGGCUGUGGAUUUUCUAUAAAAAUCUUGAUUUGUUUGCCACAAAGUCCUCUUUUUCUAUCAAAUGCAAUGAAACAGUAAAAAAUAAUGCUUUGCAUCAAGUUUCCCCUUGGAACAUGUACUAAAUGGCCUAUCUCUAUUAUUUAUUUUAUCUUUAGUUUUGAUACAAUUGAGGUUUGAAAAAUUCGUACAAAAAUGG
rnacentral:lncRNA from 1 species